rnacentral:rRNA from 1 species
AUGUCCAGGAAACCUAGAGAUCAGCAGCGCAAGAGCUGCAGGUCCAGGGCCCUGGUUCUACUUAUCGUCGUCGCCACCAACACAGCCACCUUCCUCCUCUUCUCCGACGCCAGCUCCGCAAUCGGCAUUCGCUCCGGUGAGCACGGCCGGUGCAUCACCUUCUGGAACUCGACUAAGCUGUCGCUCCGUGACAUCAACAUCACGGAGUAUGCGCUGGCCGCUAGCCGCGACGAGCUCCUGCACCUGCACGACCGCCUCGUCACGGCAAGCUCCCUUGUCGUGACGCUCCUGGGCAUAAACGACACUUCCAGCAACAUGGCAGCCGCCAGGGACGAGCAGAAGCAUGCGGCAGCCGACGGACUGUGGCAGCCGGAGCUCACCGGAGAGCUCCAGCUGGCCGUCGGCCCCCACAAACUGCCAUUAGGCUUCACGAAGAACCUGGGGUCCGAUCAGCUGUUCCCGGCAGUGGGGCAAGGGUGCCGCCUUUUCCCGGACGAGCUGGAGCGCUAUAUGAACUACAAGCCCGGCGGCGAGUGUCCGUCUGACGAGCAGUUCUCACAGCGGCUCAUGCUCAAGGGCUGUGAGCCACUGCCACGGCGUCGGUGCCGGACACGCAGCCCGGCAGGGUACGCCGAGCCCACUCCACUGCCGGCGAGCCUGUGGUCCAUGCCGCCAGACACCAGCAUCAUGUGGGACGCGUACACGUGCAAGAACUACUCCUGCCUUGCUAAUCGCAGCAAGAGCAAGGGAUUCUACGACUGCAAAGACUGCUUCGACCUGCGCAACGGCCGGGAGAAGGGCCGGUGGAUGCGCGACGACGGUGCACUCUCAUACUCCAUCGAUGCCGUGCUUGCGACGAAGCCAAACGGCACAGUGCGCAUCGGGCUCGACAUUGGCGGCGGGUCAGGCACGUUCGCUGCACGGAUGCAGGAGCGUGGGGUGACCGUGGUGACCACGUCCAUGAACUUUGAUGGCCCAUUCAAUAGCUUCAUAGCUUCGCGGGGUCUUGUCCCCAUGCACCUCAGCAUCGCGCACCGGCUACCGUUCUUCGACGGCACACUCGACAUCGUGCACUCGAUGCAUGUGCUCAGCCACUGGAUCCCUGAUGCCAUGCUCGAGUUCGCGUUGUUCGACAUCUACAGAGUGCUGAGGCCUGGAGGAUUGUUCUGGCUCGACCACUUCUUCUGCCUCGGCACGCAAAUGAACACGACAUAUGUGCCCAUGUUCAAUCAAAUUGGUUUCAACAAGGUGCGGUGGAAUGCGAGACGGAAGCUGGACCGAGGGAUCAAGAUGAACGAGUGGUACCUCUCAGCGCUGCUCGAAAAGCCCACUACCUAG